AACGAACGCUGGCGGCAUGCCUAACACAUGCAAGUCGAACGAGAUCUUCGGGUCUAGUGGCGCACGGGUGCGUAACGCGUGGGAAUCUGCCCUUUGGUUCGGAAUAACAGUUGGAAACGACUGCUAAUACCGGAUGAUGACGAAAGUCCAAAGAUUUAUCGCCAGAGGAUGAGCCCGCGUAGGAUUAGCGAGUUGGUGUGGUAAAGGCGCACCAAGGCGACGAUCCUUAGCUGGUCUGAGAGGAUGAUCAGCCACACCUGGGCUGAGACACGGCCCAGACUCCCACAGGAAGCUGCAGUGGGGAAUAUUGGACAAUGGGCGAAAGCCUGAUCCAGCAAUGCCGCGUGAGUGAUGAAGGCCUUAGGGUUGUAAAGCUCUUUUACCCGGGAUGAUAAUGACAGUACCGGGAGAAUAAGCUCCGGCUAACUCCGUGCCAGCCGCCGCGGUAA
rnacentral:rRNA from 1 species